rnacentral:lncRNA from 1 species
AGGAGGGAGCCUUCCAGAGUCGGUGCAGGGUUGACAGGAGACGUUUGUUUUGCUUUUCCUGAACUUUCGAUCGCCAGCUUGUUUGGUCUUCUUGAUGUUAUAGGGUUGAUAGAGAGGAGUGGAGUGAUAUCGGACACCCAGCUUCGGCAAGCUCUCUCCAAGGGUGAGUGGGCCAGUGGGACCUGGGUCUCCGGACCAAGAAGCCGCGAGCCUGCCCUGCUCACAGUGGAUAACUUUCUUUCUGAAGUUGAUUUUCCAAGGACAAAGGAAUCAUUAGGGCAAAUUAUUAUUACUGCUUCAUGGUGGAGAUGCUUCUGGUUUAUUCUGUGGCUACCGCUGUUACUGCUUGGAGUGCCUCACCGAGCCAGCUAACAACGGCGUGCGUGAGCACAGGGAAAGGCUUCUUGAGAAAUGAAAACUAGGUUGUAGGUUUAGGAGGGGAAUAGGAAGGUUAGCUCUGUCCAGCCGAAAGCCUUUUGGAUGAAGCCCCACCCGCCCUUCAGGAUGCCAGCCUUGGCAACAUUGUGAGACCCUGUUUCUACAAAAAGUAAACGUGUAGUGGUGCACGCCUGUAGUUCCAGCUACUUGGGAGGCUGAGAUGGGAAGAUCACUUCAGCCUGGGAGGUUGAGGCUGCAUUGAGCUGAGAUCAAGCCACGGCACUCCAGCCUGGGAGACAGAGCGAAACCCCAUCUCAAAAAAACAAAGAAAGUGGAUGCGCGCUGCUCCUGCCAUUGGAUCAUCGCAGCAUUUUUCUUUUCUCUGAUAUGCGCCUUUUUCCUCACCGUGGGGGCUCAUGUUUUCGUAGUUUCUUCUCGCUACUAGAUUGUGAGCUGCGUGAAGGAAGGUUCAUAGUUGUGUUGUAUGUACAGGCACACAAAAUUUGUCCUUGGAUAGACACAUAUCAGUCCGCUUCCUUCUCCUCUCUGAAUUUCUUUAUUUAAAAAAAAGAAUUAGAGAUGGAGUCUCACUGUCUUGCCCAGGCUGGUCUCAAACUCCUAGGCUCAAGCGAUCCUCCCGCCUCUACUAAUAUGAAUUAUUAGCCUAUACUAAUAUGAAUUCCUAUACUAAUAUGAUUGAAAUUAGUUUGACUUGUAUAAUAAUUGUUCUCCCAGAUUGGGCUUCUGUUUUGAUAGUAGAACUAAAUUAUUAGGCUAUUUCAAGAAAUUAAUAUAUUACUGGUAGAAAAACUGAAGCUACAAAAUGGCCUGGUUUCUCACUUCAGUUAAAUUUGUGCUUCUGAGUGCUUGUAUUGUAGGUGAAACCGCACUGAGAAGGUAUUUGUGGCCCGUACGCUGGUUCAUUGAUGAGACUUCUUUGCACAGGAGAGCCGCUAAAAAUUACUGUGGUGAACAGACGGAGGCCCAUUGAGGCUUCUCUGUCCUCCACGGGGACCAGCAUUGGGCUAAACCUGCAGACACCAUUGCAAAGGGAAUUCAGGCAAACCCGGUGGUGAAGAAUGAUUCCAGCGCGAGGACAGAGGCUGACAUUUCUUGCCUGGGCUCAUCAAUGCACCGUGUGGCCAAACAGAACAGAAGCUUGUUUUUCAUUCACGCUACCUCCUCCUCUCAGAGCUGGCAGGAGUUCUUGUCCACAUUGUUAAGCGGGGUCAUUGAUGACUGAACUUCCCACAUUUUGUGACAGCAGCAUCUAGAAUAUGCAGCACUCUCCAUCAUCAUGAGAGAAAAAGAGAUUGGAGAAUCACCCAGAGCUCUUUAUUGCCUCAGCCAAAUAAGUGACACAUGUCAUGUCUCACGAUUCAUUGGCCAGAACUAGUCCCGUGGCCCUGUCUGACUGCAAGGGAGCUGGACAACGUGAAGGAGCAGGUGGAAUAUUGGAUAUUUAAAUACCACUGCUUUAGUACAGUGGUUAAGAGUAAAGUAUUUGAAGUUAUAAGGAGGUUGGUUCAAAAAAUAAUGACUUUGCAGACAGGCGCGGUGGCUCACGCCUGUAAUCCCAGCACUUUGGGAGGCUGAGGCAGGCAGAUCCCUUGAGGCCAGGAGUUCAAGACCAGCCUGGCCAACAUGGUGAAACCCCAUCUC